UUGCAACUCUGAUUGAACUCUUUAACAUGGUCCAAAGUUGCAGUACAGCAGUAGCAAAAGAUAAGGACUGUUUUGGCACGAACCCCCCAAUUGUGAAGAGAUAGGCCAUUAUGUCAUGUCGCAGUGCAUAAAUAGUGCAUAAUACUUGACAUGCCUACUGUCGGCAACUUGAGACACAAUUCCAUAACUUAAGAAAUUGAUGUCUUUGGUUGAUCUUAGCUGUGAUGGAGUUGGCCAAAUUCCAUAACUUAUUAGGGACACAAUUCAGAUCAAUGAUGAUGAAGUUAAACUAUGAACCAAAUGAUUCAAGUUAAUUGGCCGUGUAGCUGUUCAUUCUUAUUAUGGUGCAGGAGUUUUAACUAAAUGUUUGCGACAAAGAUCUGGACUGUGAUGCCCUGCAAUAUAACUGUUACAAUGCCUGGUAUUUAAAGCCUUGAUGGUGCCUGCAAACCUUGUAUCGGUGCGGCUACAAGACUGGUGGCUACUAAUGCUUUUGUUUUUUUAACGGCGGGGGUGCUGCAGUAACUCAAAUUGGCCAUGAGCUUAUUCUUAAUUUACUGAUUUCUAUGCUUUAAGGGGAAUGAGGUAUGAACAAUAAAAUGCUUUAAGAUAGAAACUGGCAUUUAAUCAAGAAAAUGAAAAGUAUGCUG